CAAAAACUUCACAUUCUAGAAUUAUUUGGGAAAACUUGCUCUUUCCAGAACAGAAAUAGUAAUGUAACCAUUGGAUGGCUUGAUUUGGAAAUAAGCUCAGAAUAUCUAGUCCUGACCCACUGUUGUGGGCAAGGCUGGCAUACACCAGCUCAGGCUGCCCGGCGCCCCAUCCAGCCCAGCCUUGAAUGCUUCCAGGAAUGGGGCAUCUGCAACUUCUCUGGGCAGCCUGUGCUAAGGUCUUAUCAACCAAUCAGUGAGGAAAAAACCCCUCACAUCUAAGGUAAAUUUCCCUUCUUUUCUUUAAAACCAUUCCCUGUUAUCUUAUUGCUAUCUGCCUGUGUAAAAACUUUGUCUCCCUCCUGUUCCCUUCAAGUACUGGAAGGUCACAAUGAGGUGUCCCCAGAACCUUCUUUUCUCCAGGCUGAGCAAGCCCUGUUCUCUCAGCCUGUCUUUGUAGGAGAGGUGCUCCAGCCCUCUGAUCUUUGUGACCAUCCUCUGGACUCACUCCAGCAGCUCCACAUACUACUUGUGCUGGGGGCCCGGACUUGGAAGCAACAUUCCAGAUGUGUAGUAUAUGACACAAGGGCACUUACUGGGAGAUGCUGAUGUGGCCUCAAAAAUAGUCAAUGUACCAUUCUGCUUGGAUGUAAUGCUUGCCUCUGCCAGGCUAAUGCUUAUGUCCGGAAGGAGAUCAUAUAAACAACAGGACUUAAUUGGAGCUCAAUGAAGAGGCUCAUGUAGCAGUGACCUGACAGUUGAUCACUUUGAUAAUAAAACUUCUGGUCCCUAUAUUAUUAAACA
rnacentral:lncRNA from 1 species